rnacentral:rRNA from 1 species
AAUGGGCGAAAGCCUGACGCAGCGACGCCGCGUGAGGGAUGAAGGUCCUCGGAUCGUAAACCUCUGUCAGGAGGGAAGAACCGCCACGGUGCUAAUCAGCCGUGGUCUGACGGUACCUCCAAAGGAAGCACCGGCUAACUCCGUGCCAGCAGCCGCGGUAAUACGGAGGGUGCGAGCGUUAAUCGGAAUCACUGGGCGUAAAGCGCACGUAGGCUGCUUGGUAAGUCAGGGGUGAAAGCCCGCGGCUCAACCGCGGAAUUGCCUUUGAUACUGCCGAGCUAGAGUCCGGGAGAGGGUAGUGGAAUUCCAGGUGUAGGAGUGAAAUCCGUAGAGAUCUGGAGGAACAUCAGUGGCGAAGGCGACUACCUGGACCGGUACUGACGCUGAGGUGCGAAAGCGUGGGGAGCAAA